GUUCCAGGGUGGAAGGACCCCCAGCAUGGGUCUUUGGGGCAUUUCGGCAGUAGGUCCCAGAGCAGAAGGACUCCCCGCCGACGAAUUACC